AAGUCGUAACAAGGUCUCCGUAGGUGAACCUGCGGAGGGAUCAUUACUACGCAAUUUUUGCUCCACCCUGUUUACUGUUCUGUUGCUUAGGAGGCGCCCCUCGGGAGGGGAUCUGCUUCGGCCGCCUCCGAAAGCACCAAAACUAUAUCUUAUUAUCUGUGUCAAUUCUGAAAACACAAAAACAUUAAAACCUCAACAACGGAUCUCUUGGUUACA
rnacentral:misc_RNA from 1 species